rnacentral:rRNA from 1 species
UGCCAGCAGCCGCGGUAAUACAGAGGUCCCAAGCGUUGUUCGGAUUCACUGGGCGUAAAGGGUGCGUAGGCGGUGGGGUAAGUUUGAGGUGAAAUCUCCGGGCUCAACCCGGACAAGCCUUGAAUACUAUCCUGCUAGAGGAUCGGAGGGGAGACUGGAAUUCUCGGUGUAGCAGUGAAAUGCGUAGAUAUCGAGAGGAACACCAGUGGCGAAGGCGAGUCUCUGGACGAUACCUGACGCUGAGGCACGAAAGCCAGGGGAGCAAACGGGAUUAGAUACCCUGGUAGUCC